UUCUUGGACCACAGCCAGACGGACUACCGCGAAAGCAUUUGCCAAGAAUGUCUUCAUUAAUCAAGAACGAAAGUCAGAGGUUCGAAGGCGAUCAGAUACCGCCCUAGUUCUGACCGUAAACGAUGCCAACUAGCGAUCCGCCGGUGGAAUAAUCAAUUGCCCUGGUGGGGAGCUUCCCGGAAACGAAAGUCUUCCGGUUCCGGGGGAAGUAUGGUUGCAAAGCUGAAACUUAAAGGAAUUGACGGAAGGGCACCACCAGGAGUGGAGCCUGCGGCUUAAUUUGACUCAACACGGGGAAACUCACCCGGCCCGGACACCGUAAGGAUUGACAGAUUGAUAGCUUUUUCAUGAUUCGGUGGAUGGUGGUGCAUGGCCGUUCUUAGUUCGUGGAGCGAUUUGUCUGGUUUAUUCCGAUAACGAGCGAGACUCUGGCCUACUAAAUAGUCGGCACAUUGCUUCUGUGUGCACACCGACUUCUUAGAGGGAUUCGCGGUGUUUUCAGCCGCACGAAAUUGAGCAAU
rnacentral:rRNA from 1 species